UGAUGACGAGACGCUAAGGCGUUGAAGCAGUGCAUGUCAGACUUCCAAGAAAAGCUCGCAAUGUCACAAAUAUAAAAUGCCUGUACCAUAACCGACACAGGUGGGUAGGUAGAGUAUACUAAGGGGCGCGAGAUAACUCUCUCUAAGGAACUCGGCAAAAUGACUCCGUAACUUCGGGAGAAGGAGUGCCUUAUUUAUAAGGUUGCAAUAACAAGAUCCAAGCAACUGUUUAUCAAAAACACAGGUCUCCGCUAAGUCGUAAGACGAUGUAUGGGGCUGACGCCUGCCCAGUGCCAGAAGGUUAAAGAAGUUGGUUAGUGUAUGCGAAGCUGAUGACUGAAGCCCUGGUGAACGGCGGCCGUAACGAUAACGGUCCUAAGGUAGCGAAAUUCCUUGUCGGGUAAGUUCCGACCCGCACGAAAGGCGUAAUGAUUUGGAUACUGUCUCGGAGAGAGGCUCGGUGAAAUAGACUUGUCUGUGAAGAUGCGGACUACCUGCACCAGGACAGAAAGACCCUAUGAAGCUUUACUGUAACUUGAAAUUGGAAUUGGACUUUGCUUGCGCAGUAUAGGUGGGAAGCGUUGAAAAUAUUCUUGCGGGAGUAUUGGAGCUAUCAGUGAGAUACCACUCUUGUAAUGUUAGAUUUCUAACUUUGAACCAUAAUCUGGUCAAAGAACAGUUUCAGGUGGGCAGUUUGACUGGGGCGGUCGCCUCCCAAAUGGUAACGGAGGCGUACAAAGGUUUCCUCUGAACGGAUAGAAAUCGUAUCUAGAGUGUAAAGGCAUAAGGAAGCUUGACUGUGAGACCUACAAGUCGAGCAGGGACGAAAGUCGGUCUUAGUGAUCUGACGGUACUGAGUGGAAAGGCCGUCACUCAACGGAUAAAAGUUACUCUAGGAUAACAGGCUGAUCUCCCCCAAGAGUUCACAUCGACGGGGAGGUUUGGCACCUCGAUGUCGGCUCAUCGCAUCCUGGGGCGGUAGUACGUCCCAAGGGUUGGGCUGUUCGCCCAUGAAAGCGGUACGCGAGCUGGGUUCAGAACGUCGUGAGACAGUUCGGUCCAUAUCCGGUGUAGGCGCUAGAAUAUUGAGAGGAGCCUUCUUUAGUACGAGAGGACCGAGAAGGACACACCGCUGGUGUACCAGUUAUCGUGCCAACGGUAAACGCUGGGUAGCUAUGUGUGGAGUGGAUAACCGCUGAAAGCAUCUAAGUGGGAAGCCCACCUCGAGAUGAGUA
rnacentral:rRNA from 1 species